rnacentral:rRNA from 1 species
CGGCGCCACGAGUGGCAUCCGCAUUUACUUGGCCUAAAGCGUCCGUAGCCGGUUUGAUAAAUUUCUUGUGAAAUCGUUAAGCUUAACUUAACGACGUGCAGGAAACACUGUCAAACUUGGAACCGGGAGGAGUCAGAGGUAUUCAUUGGGGAGCGGUAAAAUGCUAUAAUCCUUUGAAGACCACCUGUGGCGAAGGCGUCUGACUAGAACGGAUUCGACGGUGAGGGACGAAAGCUAGGGGAGCGAUCCGGAUUAGAUACCCGAGUAGUCC